rnacentral:rRNA from 1 species
GACGAACGCUGGCGGCGUGCUUAACACAUGCAAGUCGAACGGAAAGGCCCUGCUUUUGUGGGGUGCUCGAGUGGCGAACGGGUGAGUAACACGUGAGUAACCUGCCCUUGACUUUGGGAUAACUUCAGGAAACUGGGGCUAAUACCGGAUAGGAGCUCCUGCUGCAUGGUGGGGGUUGGAAAGUUUCGGCGGUUGGGGCUGGACUCGCGGCUUAUCAGCUUGUUGAUGGGGUAGUGGCUUACCAAGGCUUUGACGGGUAGCCGGCCUGAGAGGGUGACCGGCCACAUUGGGACUGAGAUACGGCCCAGACUCCUACGGGAGGCAGCAGUGGGGAAUAUUGCACAAUGGGCGGAAGCCUGAUGCAGCAACGCCGCGUGCGGGAUGACGGCCUUCGGGUUGUAAACCGCUUUCGCAUGUGACGAAGCGUGAGUGACGGUAAUGGGUAAAGAAGCACCGGCUAACUACGUG